AGUGAACGCUGGCGGUAGGCCUAACACAUGCAAGUCGAACGGCAGCACAGUAAGAGCUUGCUCUUACGGGUGGCGAGUGGCGGACGGGUGAGGAAUACAUCGGAAUCUACUUUUUCGUGGGGGAUAACGUAGGGAAACUUACGCUAAUACCGCAUACGACCUACGGGUGAAAGCAGGGGAUCUUCGGACCUUGCGCGAUUGAAUGAGCCGAUGUAGGAUUAGCUAGUUGGCGGGGCAAAGGCCCACCAAGGCGACGAUCCGUAGCUGGUCUGAGAGGAAGAUCAGCCACACUGUAACAGAGACACGGUCCAGACUCCGACGGGAGGCAACAGUGGGGAAUAUUGGACAAUGGACGCAAGCCUGAUCCAGCCAUACCGCGUGGGUGAAGAAGGCCUUCGGGUUGUAAAGCCCUUUUGUUGGGAAAGAAAAGCAGCAGGUUAAUACCCCGCUGUUCUGACGGUACCCAAAGAAUAAGCACCGGCUAACUUCGUG
rnacentral:rRNA from 1 species